UGGGCAACCUGCCCUCAGCUCUGGGAUAACUCCAAGAAAUUGGGGCUAAUACCGGAUAUGACUGCUGACCGCAUGGUCUGGUGGUGGAAAGACUUAUCGGCUGGGGAUGGGCCCGCGGCCUAUCAGCUUGUUGGUGGGGUAGUGGCCUACCAAGGCGUCGAUGGGUAGCCGGCCUGAGAGGGUGACCGGCCACACUGGGACUGAGACACGGCCCAGACUCCUACGGGAG
rnacentral:rRNA from 1 species